rnacentral:ncRNA from 1 species
AUUAUAACUGUGACGAGAAGAGUAGCAUUAGGACGUAGUUCUAGCGAGUAAGGGAUGGUGUAAGCCUUAUACGAAGCCUAUUAGUGAAGAACAUCUCUGAGUUUCUAACCGAAAGUAAAUUUUUAUUUAUUAGUAGACUUAGACGGAUAAUCUAGACCGUUAACUUCUAGAUUGAGCAUAAUAUUGUGCUUAAAUUUGAGUUGGCUAUAAAUUUUUAUAGCAAUUUGGGUGGUACCGCGAAUGUAUCCUUUCGUCCCAUUU